rnacentral:rRNA from 1 species
UACGUAGGGUGCAAGCGUUGUCCGGAAUUAUUGGGCGUAAAGAGCUCGUAGGCGGUUUGUCGCGUCUGCUGUGAAAACCCGAGGCUCAACCUCGGGCCUGCAGUGGGUACGGGCAAACUAGAGUGCGGUAGGGGAGAAUGGAAUUCCUGGUGUAGCGGUGGAAUGCGCAGAUAUCAGGAGGAACACCGAUGGCGAAGGCAGUUCUCUGGGCCGGUACUGACGCUGAGACGCGAAAGCGUGGGGAGCGAACAGG